rnacentral:rRNA from 1 species
AGAUCAGAAGCGAGAAUGUUGACAUGAGUAGCGAUAAAGAGGGUGAGAGACCCUCUCGCCGUAAGUCCAAGGGUUCCUGCUUAAAGCUAAUCUGAGCAGGGUAAGCCGGCCCCUAAGGCGAGGCCGAAAGGCGUAGUCGAUGGGAACCACGUUAAUAUUCGUGGGCCAGGAGGAAGUGACGGAUCUCGAAGAUUGUCUGCCCUUAUCGGAUUGGGUGGGCCGUUCAGAGGUUCCAGGAAAUAGCCCUCCAUCAGACCGUACCCUAAACCGACACAGGUGGACUGGUAGAGUAUACCAAGGCGCUUGAGAGAACCACAUUUAAGGAACUCGGCAAAAUGCCUCCGUAAGUUCGCGAGAAGGAGGCCCCGUCUGUAGGCAACUAUGGGCGGGGGGCACAAACUAGGGGGUGGCGACUGUUUACUUAAAACACAGGGCUGUGCGAAGCCGUAAGGCGACGUAUACAGUCUGACGCCUGCCCGGUGCUGGAAGAUUAAGAGGAGGGGUGCAAGCUCUGAAUUGAAGUCCCAGUAAACGGCGGCCGUAACGAUAACGGUCCUAAGGUAGCGAAAUUCCUUGUCGGGUAAGUUCCGACCUGCACGAAUGGCGUAACGAUCUCCCCGCUGUCUCAAAUGUGGACUCAGCGAAAUUGAACUGUGUGUCAAGAUGCACACUACCCGCGGUUAGACGGAAAGACCCCAUGCACCUUUACUCCAGCUUUGCACUGGUAUCAGGAUUGUGAUGUGCAGGAUAGGUGGUAGGCAUCGAAGCGGGGACGCCAGUUCUCGUGGAGCCUCCCUUGAGAUACCACCCUUCGCCAUCUUGAUAUCUAACCGCGGCCCGUUAUCCGGGUCCGGGACCCUGCAUGGUGGGGAGUUUGACUGGGGCGGUCGCCUCCCAAAUCGUAACGGAGGCGCGCGAAGGUAGGCUCAGACCGGUCGGAAAUCGGUCGUUGAGUGCAAUGGCAGAAGCCUGCCUGACUGCAAGACUGACAAGUCGAGCAGAGACGAAAGUCGGUCAUAGUGAUCCGGUGGUCCCAAGUGGGAGGGCCAUCGCUCAACGGAUAAAAGGUACGCUGGGGAUAACAGGCUGAUGAUGCCCAAGAGUCCAUAUCGACGGCAUCGUUUGGCACCUCGAUGUCGGCUCAUCUCAUCCUGGGGCUGGAGCAGGUCCCAAGGGUGCGGCUGUUCGCCGUUUAAAGAGGUACGUGAGCUGGGUUUAGAACGUCGUGAGACAGUUCGGUCCCUAUCUGCCGUGGGUGUAGGAGACUUGAGAAGAGUUGCCCCUAGUACGAGAGGACCGGGGUGAACGGACCACUGGUGGACCAGUUAUCGUGCCAACGGUAGUGCUGGGUAGCUAUGUUCGGACAGGAUAACCGCUGAAGGCAUCUAAGCGGGAAGCCCCCUUCAAAACAAGGUCUCCCUUGAGAGCCGUGGAAGACCACCACGUCGAUAGGCCAGAGGUGU